rnacentral:lncRNA from 1 species
CUGGCUUUUUAGCCCAAAGACAACAACAUUCCUUCUCUAAAGUUGCAGGGGAAGGCUGGUCUGGACAUGAAUGUGGCUGAAGCUCAAAACUCCUUCCCCCGGUAGCCUGGUGUGUGGUUAUAUUCUAAGGAAAAUGGCUUCCUGUGUGACUCAUUUGAGAGCACUGUGCCACUAGCAAGCUAUAAUGCUGACAAGUUCCUCGUGAUGGCUAGGAGGAUAGUAGUUGUAUGGAGGAGAAAUUUCCCAGCACCUGAUUUUUAUGGCAUAUGAUCAUGGCAAAACCCGCACCUGCUGCAGCGUGUUUUCCGGCAUGGUUGCUAGCUGAUUGUAACAUUUGUGGGAAGAAGCUUCCUCUUCCUGCACCCUAAGAAAACAUUGUCAUGCUUGUGACAGCAGUGUGUACUUUGGUCUCUGCAACAGGUUUCUGGACCACCUGUUAUCCACUGUGACAUCAUAGGGCAACAUCCCAGCAACAGUGAGUGAAACAGAACAGAUUUUCCAUUUCCUCUCUGGGAACGGUGCCCUUUGAAAAGAAUAGGAAGACAUUCUCAAGGUAGCAAGCGGAGGACUAAGAGUCAUUUACAUUGCCUGUCCUAGGAGAAAUGGCUUAUUUUGGACCCCAAGCUUGUGAAACAGGGCAUUUUGGAUAGAUCCAUGUGUGAGACAGAUUCUAAUUCUAGUUAGGCUCACUGUGGGCAAUUGCAUAGGUAAGAUCAGUCAUAGGUUCUCUUCAAAGGAUGAGUGAAAUGACCAGAACCAUAGGGAUUAUUUUUUGAAUCCUUGAGGUUCUCAGGCUUAGUCUGGCACUUCAAGGAUCCCCUAUAUGCUAUUAAUAAUGUUUCCAUUUUCUUUUCAGGGAUCCUUGUAGUACCAGACUGGGGCUGAGAGCCUCAAGGUUUGUAAAUAAGCCCUGUGGUUCUGGCCAUUUUACUUGUCCUUUAGAGAGAACCACUAAUGCCCUUCCAACCUCAUAAUGAUUGCGGCGAGGAAUAUCAACAAGGAAAUCUCCGUUCAACAGAAGAGAGCUUUGAGGAAAGAGAAGCUAAGAAAGGGAGUAAAUAUGCCUCAAGACUAAUUUAGAUGGAAAUCAGAUGGAAAGCCUGAUGCUGCAGUUUGUUGAAUUAUAAGGUUCUUUCAGAAGAAGUUUUCUUGAUCAUAGCAGAGACAGUGUGGAUUUGGGAGCUGUUCAGAUUCAAUCCUGCUCCUCUUGACCUUCCAGCAAUUUUGUAAGUACUUAGUUUUCUACAUUGGAUCCUGUUAUCCUUUGACUAGCUAGGGUGGAUUUUAUUUUCUGCAAUUGAACUUUGUCCAAUAUCUCUUCCCUCCAACUAGAGAUAUUAGUGAGAUUUUUUUUUUUUCUGAUAAAUUUCCACUUCCAAUCAUGUCAUGCUAUUCUUUUGAGAAGGUAAAUGAUGUAGAUUGUUGGCAACUUGUUUUAAUUUAGUGCAAAUGUAGACAAUGUUUCUCAAAUGUUGUCCUCUAAGGUCAGGAUUCUGUCUU